UUUCCGUAGGUGAACCUGCGGAAGGAUCAUUACAGAGUUCAUGCCCUCACGGGUAGAUCUCCCACCCUUGAAUAUUUAUACCUUAGUUGCUUUGGCAGGCCGUGGAAACACCAUGGGCUCCGGCUUAUGCGUGCCUGCCAGAGGAAACAAACUCUGUUUUUAGUGAUGUCUGAGUACUAUAUAAUAGUUAAAACUUUCAACAACGGAUCUCUUGGUUCU
rnacentral:misc_RNA from 1 species